CUGGGUUCCUCCCUGGAAGCAGGUAGGAGAGAGGCUGUUCUCUCCAGUAAGAGAGUCAAGGAGACUUAGCACUGGGAGUGCAAAAGGAAAGCAGUCAAGGCUGGCUUGGAGCACUGGGAGUGCAGAAAGGAAAGCAGUUAAGGCUGGCUUGGGGCUUGGAGCACUGGGAGUGUAGAAAGGAAAGCAACAGGCUGACUAAGCACUGGAGUGCAGAGCGCUGACAAAGAAACUAGGUUGGUGAAACCAAUAUUGUUU